GACGAACGCUGGCGGCGUGCUUAACACAUGCAAGUCGAACGGAGAGGCCCCUUUGGGGGUCCUCGAGUGGCGAACGGGUGAGUAACACGUGAGUAACCUGCCCUUGACUUCGGGAUAACUUCAGGAAACUGGGGCUAAUACCGGAUAGGAAUCCUUGCUGCAUGGUGGGGGUUGGAAAGCUUCGGCGGUUUUGGAUGGACUCGCGGCUUAUCAGCUUGUUGGUGGGGUAGUGGCUUACCAAGGCUUUGACGGGUAGCCGGCCUGAGAGGGCGACCGGCCACAUUGGGACUGAGAUACGGCCCAGACUCCUACGGGAGGCAGCAGUGGGGAAUAUUGCACAAGGGGCGGAAGCCUGAUGCAGCAACGCCGCGUGCGGGAUGACGGCCUUCGGGUUGUAAACCGCUUUCAGCAGGGGCGAAGCUUGUGGUGACGGUACCUGCAGAAGAAGCACCGGCUAACUACGUG
rnacentral:rRNA from 1 species